CUGCCUGAGCCAGAGAAGCUGAGUGAACAGGUAGCCGUUGCCCUUGCCAUCAAAGAGGACUUGGUACAACACCUCUGGGUGCUGGGAGGAAGUUGUGAGGCCAGUGCACUUUUGACUCAAUGGGGCUGAAUGGGUUACAAAAUAUCCUCCUAUGCUUGAGACCUACAGACUACGUGUCCUACAAGAACUAAUGAAUGGUUUUUCAUCUUCUGGAGAUACAUUAGAAACAUAAAUAUGGUGCCAAAACAACCCGUUACUCUUCUCUGACUACGGUUUAUUUGGACAUACUUUUGUAUUGAAGAGAGGUAUACAGACUGAGGCUACUUGUUGUGCAGAGGCUGUCGUGUAGGAUCAUGGACCAUCCUAAUAGGGAGAAGGAUGAAAGACAACGAACAACUAAACCCAUGGCACAAAGGAGUGCACACUGUUCCCGACCGUCUGGCUCCUCAACAUCCUCUGGGGUUCUUAUGGUGGGACCCAACUUCAGAGUUGGCAAGAAGAUAGGGUGUGGGAACUUCGGAGAGCUCAGAUUAGGUAAAAAUCUCUACACCAAUGAAUAUGUAGCUAUCAAACUGGAACCAAUAAAAUCACGUGCUCCACAGCUUCAUUUAGAGUACAGGUUUUAUAAACAGCUCGGCAGUGCAGGUGAAGGUCUCCCGCAGGUGUAUUACUUUGGACCAUGUGGGAAAUACAAUGCCAUGGUGCUGGAGCUCCUCGGCCCUAGCUUGGAGGACUUGUUUGACCUCUGUGACCGAACUUUUACUUUAAAGACCGUGUUAAUGAUAGCCAUCCAGUUGCUUUCUCGAAUGGAAUAUGUGCAUUCAAAGAAUCUCAUUUACCGAGAUGUCAAGCCAGAGAACUUCCUGAUUGGCCGACAAGGCAAUAAGAAAGAGCAUGUCAUACACAUUAUAGACUUUGGACUGGCCAAGGAAUACAUUGACCCUGAAACCAAAAAACAUAUACCAUAUAGGGAGCAUAAAAGUUUAACUGGAACUGCAAGAUAUAUGUCUAUUAACACACAUCUUGGCAAAGAGCAAAGCCGGCGGGAUGAUUUGGAAGCCCUAGGCCAUAUGUUCAUGUAUUUCCUUCGAGGCAGCCUACCCUGGCAAGGACUCAAGGCUGAUACGUUAAAAGAGAGAUAUCAAAAAAUUGGUGACACCAAAAGGAAUACUCCUAUUGAAGCUCUCUGUGAAAACUUUCCAGAGGAGAUGGCAACCUACCUGCGGUAUGUCAGGCGAUUAGACUUCUUUGAAAAACCUGACUAUGAGUAUUUACGGACCCUCUUCACAGACCUCUUUGAAAGGAAGGGCUACACCUUUGACUACGCCUACGAUUGGGUUGGGAGGCCUAUUCCUACUCCAGUAGGGUCAGUUCAUGUAGAUUCUGGUGCAUCUGCAAUAACUCGGGAAAGCCACACGCACAGGGAUCGCCCAUCACAACAACAACCUCUACGAAACCAGAGCCUUAGGACUGUUACAGCUGAACAUCAUGAUGUUAACACCUCCUCAGCCAUCUGGCACAGGGGAAGAGGCAUCUAAACAGAUUCUUCAGAACAAAAAUCACAUAUGAGCAAGAUCAGAAUAGUGUGAGAUCUAAAAAACAGACUGCAUCGUCAGAGCGCCGAGGAGAGUGGGAAAUCCAGCCCAGCCGGCAGACCAAUACCUCGUACCUGACGUCUCACUUGGCUGCAGACCGCCAUGGGGGAUCAGUGCAGGUGGUUAGCUCAACCAAUGGAGAGCUGAAUGUCGAUGACCCCACAGGAGCCCACUCCAAUGCACCAAUCACAGCUCAUGCUGAGGUGGAGGUAGUGGAGGAAGCUAAGUGCUGCUGUUUCUUUAAGAGGAAAAGGAAGAAGACUGCUCAGCGCCACAAGUGACCAGUGCCUCCCAGGAGUCCUCAUGCCCUGGGGACUCUGACUUGAUUGCACCUGCAGUUUCUGCCAUUUCUCAUUGGAAGGGACUCCUCUGUGGGGGAGGGUGGAGAUCCAAACCAAAAAGAAGAAAACAGAUGCCCGCAGAAGGAGCCAGUGUGGGUAGCCAGGGCCCAGUGGGUCAGUGGCUGUCCCCACCUGCCUAAGGCUCUGAGCAGGUCCCAGAGCUGCUGCUCCCUCACUGCUUGCCCUUGGGGCUGCCUGGUUAACUCUCCUUCCUAUUGUUUACAGUGAAGGUGUCAUUCACAAAAACUCAAGGACUACUAUUCUCUUCCCUCCCCUUAGUUUACUCCUGGUUCUUGCCCUACCCUCAAUCCUUUCCAGCAUAAAAGCUAGUGAGUUGAAGGCUUUUUCUGCUGAAGGAGCUCAAGAGGCCGGGGGUGUGGUCAAGAAGGUGGGAGGAAGAUGGCAAGCCUGGACAGGAGAAGAACCUUCUCCACCUACUAGGUGUGUCUGGCAGUAUGGCUCCCUCUUCCUCUGUGCCUGUGCAGCCUGCGUCCCCAGCUGGCCACGGGGUACAGGUUACUCCCUCCCUCCCUCCUGUGAAGUUACACUGUAGGACACAAGCUGUGAGAAAUCUGCAGUCUACUGUCCCCGUGUGUUGGCAUUCUUAGCUUUCUUGACAAGCGAACUCUUCUCUAGAUGGUAGGACAAUGCAAAUUGUUCUGAGAAAAGGAAAAAAAAACUGACUUUAAUGCACUUUUAGUUGUUUGUUUGUUUUUUUUAAACAAAAACAUGGCAGAUGCAUAUUGUGUCUGGUUAUAUUGGGAGUUUUACUUUUUUUCUGUUUUGAUGGGGAUGGGGCCAGCCAAGCCAUUCAGAGAGAAUAUUCUGAGUCCAGAGGACAUUCUCAAUGGAAAGAGUUGGGUCUGCAGCACCCGGAAGAGAAGAAGCCAAACUCUGUGUCAUUCUGAGUGAACACUCAGGUUGACAAGGAAACAUACUUGAAUUUUCAUUCAUCUUCUCAGCUGCUGAAGAAUGUCCCUACCAGAGCCUCUUGACUUCAUCAGCCUGCAGUUUGGACAACUCAGCUCUCCAGUACGUGGGAUGAGCCAGCCAAGCCAGACUGUGAAUAGGAGUCAGUUCAUCCAGAGAAGGAGAUGCUUAAAAAAAAAAAUCUGAAAUAUCUGUUUCUUCCACUGCCAGGGACUUCCAACUAGGUAGCCAUGUGACUUCCUUAGUGACUUGGGGACAAAAUUAUUGAUGAAAUAGCCACCACCAUAUUGCCACUAGUGGAACAAAAGAGGAAGAAAGUGAACCUGCCUUCCAACUGCCAGAGGAACUUUAGGAUUUGGCAUCAUAGGGCCCGGAAAUAAAAUUGGUGUGUACUCUCUGCCCCAGCUGCUGAGUUACAGCAUUUGGGCUGGCCUGCCUUAUCAGAAACCAAGCACCUGCAGAUCACCGAGCAGGUCUGUAGCAGCAGGCUUGAGACUCUCCAUACAUGGGGCUGUAGUGAACAGGAGGAAAAGAUUGGUUGGUGCUGGAAAAUUCCAGGAGAAAGGAGACUGAAAUGAAAGUCUGAAAUUACCUUCUCAAUUGGACAUAGACUCCUUCCAAAUAAGAUGGCCAUGCCUCUAGAGCAUGUUCUUCCCAGUACGUUCUCUGCGUCCCCCCAUGGUGUAGUCACACAGCGUACUACUGUGAAGGGUCUUGGUUCCUCAUUCACUGCUUGAAAAGUCAUUAAGGUAUGGAGUUAAUCUUCUCGUGCUCAAUUUUCAUUUGAGUUCAGUAGCUUAUCCAAACAGUGACCUUUCAUUCCAGAUGUGAUAGAGGAAAAAGGUUUUGUAUCUGGGAGUAGAGAAAGCUAACCAUGGAGGACAAUGGCUGGUGGCUUAGUCUGGUGGGUUUUGGAACACAAAAAUCAUUUCCUCUUGCUUGAGAUGUAGGGCUGUCUUUUUGACUGGAGGAUGUGGGGAUACUUUCUGGUAGUUGGCAUUUCCUGACAAGUCCCUUGAUGUAUCUUACAUGGAGCAGAAAUAGCAUCAGUAGCAUGGAUCAGAGUUACUGGGCUUCACCUGUUCCAUUGGGCCUUGGCUAGGAAAUAGUACUUCCCUGGCUUCAAACCUGCUUAGCUUAUGUCAAGAUUGUAAUCUUUCAUUUCUUUAAAGGAAACUUUCCUGUAUACAAAACAGAAUGGCUGGGAGAUGGUGUCAUAUCCCUUGUCCACAAGGAUUUUGAAUAUUGGGAUUUGCUUCCUUGACAUUUCCUAGGGGUUAAGGCACCAUCACUGCAACUUACAUAGUUUCUCAGUUGGCAUUUGGGCAACUCUAACUUCCUAUAUAAAAAAUUAACUUCCUCACCCCUAUAAUAUAGAAAAAGCUUUGCCUCUCAAUGGAGGGCAAAGGGAAAUGGUGCCAAGGCCUGGAGCAUCCUGGCACUCCGUACCCCAUUAAGUGCCUCCCCACUCCUGCUUCCCCAAAAAAGCAAAGGCAGUGACCAGCUUGGCUGCAGGGCAAGCCCCCUUUGCAGCUGUGUUUGUGAC